AGCGAACGCUGGCGGCAGGCUUAACACAUGCCAGUCGAGCGCCCCGCAAGGGGAGCGGCAGACGGGAGAGUAACACGUGGGAACAUACCUUUUGGUUCGGAACAACUGAGGGAAACUUCAGCUAAUACCGGAUAAGCCCUUACGGGGAAAGAUUUAUCGCCGAAAGAUUGGCCCGCGUCUGAUUAGCUAGUUGGUGAGGUAACGGCUCACCAAGGCGACGAUCAGUAGCUGGUCUGAGAGGAUGAUCAGCCUCACUGGGACUGAGACACGGCCCAGACUCCUACGGGAGGCAGCAGUGGGGAAUAUUGGACAAUGGAGGCAACCCUGAUCCAGCCAUGCCGCGUGAGUGAUGAAGGCCUUAGGGUUGUAAAGCUCUUUUGCCCGGGAAGAUAAUGACGGUACCGGGAGAAUAAGCCCCGGCUAACUUCGUG
rnacentral:rRNA from 1 species